AGCUGCAGCUCCUCCAGCAUGCCUCUCCUGAACACCUCCGACAUGACCGUUAGGGUCUGGAUAUGGUGCAGCUCGGUCUGCAUCAGCUCUGAAAGAGGACAGCCAAACUGGGCCGGCUGGAUUUUCUCACCAUAAAUAACAUCCUGGCGUUUGAUUGUGUGUCUGUCGUGUUGCCUACAAAAUUCGGCAGUGACUGCAAGACUCCAUGACUCUGCUUCAAGUCCCAGCAGGUCAGCGGACAGGUCGCCCAGUAAAGGAGCAUCAACAGUAUCUACAUGAAUGAAAGUGAUGAAUAGCGUCUUAUUUCUGGAUCACUAUUACAACUGAUGCAUGUACCAAGCCUCUCUGUUCUUCCUCACCUUGUGUGGUGAUUGGCAGGUCUAUGGCUGGGGGAGUCGUUGUGACUGGUGUCCCGUCAUCAGACAGUGAGCUAAUAGUGCAAGUUGGAGCAGCACACUCAGAGUCCGCACCUGCUGAGUCGCUCAGCUGUCUGAGGGAAAGAGAGCCAGGUCAGAAGAGCCUGUGUGAAAAUCUAGGUUUCAUUUAUUUUUAGGCAUACUAAAAUAGAGUCUGCUUUUUGGAAGUCUCAAUUGUGUCCAUCUAUCCACUUCCGUUUAUCCUUUUCAGGGUCGCGGGGGGCACUGGAGCCUAUCCCAGCUGUCGUAGGGCACAGAAGAAUAAUUUUUUUUAAAUUUCCAAAUGUUUUUUCUACUCCUGGAUCUGUGUGACAUCAACAUGAGGGAGUAUCCCCAAUGUGGUCAUCUCAGAUAGACAGCUCUGACUGGGAGUACAGAAACCCCAUCAACCUGUUGUUCAGACCUGUUUGUCAGGGCCAGCCAAUCAGAAGAAAACUGGCUUAAAGGGAGGGGAAGCUACGAUGGCUUGUUUCAGACAGUGGAUGAACUAUGGACGAACCUAUAAAUCAUGGAAAACAUCUCUAAAAGAAUAUGAGAGUAAAAACAUGGAGCUGGAAAUAAGCAUAAUAGGUCACAUUUAAAAGUAAACAAAUUGAAUUAAAAGACAAAAUUAAUGCAGUUCAUUCAUUCUUAAUGCUUUUUUCAUACCGGUGGUAAUAUUUUUCUUUUCCCAGAUCAUAACCAGCCUACCUGCUGUCUGCAGAGAUAGAGAGGCUUUUAGUAAGCGGUGGGACUGUUUCUCUUUUUUCUCUGUUCAUUGUUGGAAGCGAAGAGGACGGGCAGGAAGAAGAAGAGAAAAUGGAGGAUGG